GGAGGAGUUGGCAGCUUCUUUCCAGGACCUGGUUGCUUCUCUGCUGGAGUUGAAGGAGGCUUAAUCUUCCGAGGUGGCUUGUAUGAGUCUUCAGCAUUCUCAGCUGGAGGGUGACCAGGGUUGUGACCAUAAUGUGGUGGCUUCUCUCCCUUAGGUGGUUUGCCAACUGGGGUUGGUGGCUUGUAUGAGUCUUCAGCAUUCUCAGCAGGAGGGUGACCAGGGUUGUGACCAUAAUGUGGUGGCUUCUCUCCCUUAGGUGGUUUGCCAACUGGGGUUGGUGGCUUGUGUUCUGGGAGUGGCUUCUCCCCCUUGGGAGGUUUUUCCAAUGGGGUUGGUUUGUGUUCAGGAGGUGGCUUCUCCACUGGAGGCUUGUGUUCAGGAGGUGGCUUCUCCACCGGAGGCUUGUGUUCAGGUGGUGGCUUCUCCACCGGAGGCUUAUGCUCUGGUGGUGGCUUCUCGAAUGGGGGAUGCUUAGGAUAAUCAGCAAGUGAGGGGGCGGUGAGAACCACCAGGCCAAGCAACACCACUAGCAAAUAUGUAGGAGACAUCUUUGGGUUUGGGCUCAGAUGGUGCAAAACUAGGAGAAUUGGCUAGCCUUUUAUAGCGGAUCGUACCCAAUAAUGAAAUGACACGUGUCAUUAUGACCCAUGUGUAAUGGGGUCGAUUUGGGUCCUACAGUGUUGAAAACUUCGACAUCCACUUUUGGCCUUUUGCUUUCUCUACAGCCGCCUUGCUUUUUCCCUCUUUCCUUUUGUUUUCCUCCUGCCCCAUUCUAUCAACUAAACACAAUUAUGUAGUUGUUUAAUUCUUAAAUGAGAUAUUAUCCGUCAAUCGUAUUAUAUUUUAUCAAGAGAGAACGGAGUGCAAUGUGGCUGUAAUUUUAUCGUUUAGUUUUAUCUCUUGGACCACUGCAUUUUUGUUAAGAGGUGCAAUAAUACACGUCUUUAUCUGCCAUUCAAUAUUUACAGUAAAGAGAGGGCACAAAACUCUUCACUUCGCACCAUAAUUAUUUUGUUUUCUGGACACCCCGGGGCCCUUUGGUUGGUUUGGGGGUCAGAAAGUGAACAUCAUAGGGGGUUUUUCCCUUAUGUGCAUUUGUAUCUGAUGGCUUUAACUCGCCUUGUUACUACAAAGAAACUGUCACAGAUAGGAACUUAUUCCAGGCUGAGUAUCUCCUCAUAGACCCUAUAAAAGAAGACAAGUCAUAAUGAACAUCUAACCUUUGUUCAAUUUGAUUCAAUGCCCCCAUUGUGUCCAUCUCACAAAUCUGAAUUAUUAUAUCCAUUGAAUACAUAAAUUAAUGAAGAAAAUAUGAAACCCAAGAUACAUCUCUGCACAACCUCAACCCUGGUUGCUAUGUUUCCCUUCUAUUCACAUGAUUUGAUGCUAAUUGCCAAACUUGCAACAAGCCCUGAGUUUGACACCUAGUAUCGAUGGGCGAAUUUAAAGUCUCCUCCAAACAUAUAUUCCACAGCUUGAAGCUCACAGAAGAUGUUACAGGCAGGGAAAAACCUUCAGAGUUCGCUACCAAAGAUAAUUAUUAAGGAGAUAUCACAAAGAGAAUUCCAAGGGGUCUGAAUCAAAGACAAAUUGGUCGUUCGUGGGGGUUCUUACUUUCUUUUGGGUAUAACUCACUGAGGGCACUGUCUUUGUUAUUUGCAUUUCACAUUUAGAGUUCUGUUCUGGAAACAUAUAAAAGGAGCAUCAUUUUGUUCUUGGGUAACCCAUAGUCGUGAGUGGGUCCAUUUGCAUGCUACUUAGUUGAAAAGUUGGACCAUUUGCUCCGACGCCUACCUCCCGGAUUCCAUGCUCGGAUAAAACAAGAAUAAAAAAAAUAUUUAUAAUUUACAAAUGGGGGAAAGAAAAAAAUGUCAACAACAAACCAGGAAAAAAGAGUAGUAAAAUUCAUGUCACAUGCUAGUGAGAGAAGGGGUUGUUACACUCACUCGAAGUUCUUUCCAAAAUAUCGCAUGGUAUUUUAUUUUAUGUGUCAGCGCAGUUGUGAAUGGAACGUGCAAAAGUCCAAAUUGGCGUUUUUCCUUUUCCCGUGUAGGAUGGCGACCUUUAAUAAAUAUUUAAAACAAAAAACGAAAAAAAGGAGGGAAAAGGGAUCAGAAAAGAUAAAACAAUGUGUACAAGAGCUCAAUUAGUUUGCAAAUUACUGUUUGGAUUUUGAUAGUAUUUUAUUUGUCCAUCUAUAUUUGAUGGAAAAGAGAAUUUAAGAUAUUUCUGAAACAAAAGCAUUAGUGUAAAACUAAAUUAAGGUAUAAUUAAGUUAGUUCAAUGCAUUAAUUUAAGAAACUUGAUCUAUCCAAAGUACAAAAUUAGAUGAAAUCCAUUUCAAUGGUUAAAAUGAUCAAAAUCAAACUUUUUCUAAGUAUUUUUUAAAAGCAUCAAUAUUAAAAGACAAUUUUAUAUUUAGUCGGAGUUUGGACAAAACCAAAAAGCACACAAAAUCCAAGCGACCAUCUCUAGCUUGGAUAGUCACUUGAUCCCACCUAGAGAUGUGCAUGAGUAAAAGGAUUUGAAAAUGGAAAUUGACUAAAUAUUUAGUUGAUCAAUUAAAUUUGCAAUGUCAUAUGCAAUCCUAAUAGCUAGUCAUCUAAUCAAUUAGGUAGUCAAUCAAGUGUUUGUAAUGACUAUUUUGUACAAAAAACCACAUGUAUAGUUAAAUAUAAUGCAUUUCAUUUAUAAAUCUUCUAAUUCUUGAAUAACGAUCCUAUCAUCCUUUGAAAAUUUUUAUUACACCUUUUUUACUUUUGUUCUAAAACUUACAUAUCACCCUUAAUUGUACCAUGAGAACCUAGCUAUUUUUUUUUUUUUUGUAAUUCAUCAAAGUUAGCUUUUGUAUUCAUUGUUGUAUUAUUUUUAGUAUAACUUAGAAAGCUAGUGUUUUCAAGUGAGUAAAAUUAACUUGUAAAUAUUGUAAAGAUUCAUUGAUAUGUAUCUUAAACUAAGUGUACAAAUUAAAACAUUUGCUAGUAGAUUUUCUCAAAAUUUAGAAUAGAGCUUGAGGCUAUUGAAAUAGGUGGGGUUACACCAAACCACAUCACAUCGUUGUUUGCACCUUUUUUCACUCUCUUUUACUUAGUUUCUCUAUAUUUGUUGUCUAGUAAUAUCCUAUAGGCUUGAUGGGUUAGGGAGCAUCCCUUUGUGAAAAAAUUUCAUUCAAUUCUUAGUUGUAUUACGCAUAUAUAAAAUGCCUCAUUGUUUUAAUGGUAUUCAGUCGUGGCAUCACAGAUAUGGGCAUCUAAAUUUUAAAAGUUUGAAACUUUUGUAAAGCAUGUUGAUAAAAUCCAUGAGAGUUGUGUACUUGGGAAGCAACAUCGAGGUGACUUUAUUUUUUUUUCCUUUUAUAAUGCCACACCUAAGUCCGGUUUCUAAAUGCUAAAGUGAAAGGGUAGGUAUGGACCAUUGAAAUGUGAUCACAACUUUUGGCCUUUUCCUUUCUCUGCAGCCAUGUUGUCUCUUUUUUCUUUUGCAUGAUUUUCUUACCAAAACAGAAUCAUAGACUUGUUUAGUCUCUAAGCUACUAUAUUAUAUCUCGGUGGACUUUUAAGAGUGCAACCGACAUAGAGCACAUGCAAGUGGGCAUAUGGGACAUGAAAUUUCUUCUUACAAAGAUUGCAUGAUUUUUAUAUUAGAGUUGUUCACGUGCAAUGUAUUUAGCUUGUUUUGCAGUUAAAUUAAUUGGAUAAGUAAACAUUGGCAUUUCUAAAUCGACUGUGAAGUGCUUCAUGUACGUGUAAAGUAUUAGAAAUUUCUUUCUUGGCAACUUGUUUUUUCCUUGCCAUCUACUGGUAGGUUUGACUAAAAUUAUAUUCCCUGUCAUGCUAAUUAAUUUUCAUGUGCAUGCUCAAAAGAAGAGUAUGACCUUAGUGCACCAAAAUCACUUUGAUUAAUUUGUGAUAGGUUUUUUUGCAUCAUUUAGAUAAUGUUUAGUUCUAAGAAAAAUUUAUAUAAAAAUGGUUUAUUUAUCUUACAUAUAUAUAUAUAUAUAUAUAUUUUUUUUUUUUUCAUUUUUUUUUCUUCUAUUUUAUUUAUUUAUUUUAUUUUCCUUAUGUUUUCCUCACAUUUUCCGGAACUAAACAUAGUCUUACGAAAUCAACAAUUGCCUUCAACUGAGUAGAUUCUGUUGUUUUAGCAAUGUUAGGCUGCUAACUUGUGGUGGUACGAACCAAAUGACCCAUGUUAAUCUUGGCUUGGUUUGAUUUGGCUCUAUCUCAGAGAGCUAAAGGAUCACGUCAACUCUGGUUUCUACUAUUCAGGUCCAUUCCCAGAUGAACUGGUUCAAAUUUGAGAAAAUGGUAACAGACCUUUAGUGAUGUUGGUUUGGAGCCAGUUGCCAAACCCGCCCUGAGCUUUACCACUAAUGUCAAGGGAGAAAGCCAUUUGAACAAAAACAAUAGCUUCAAGAGACUGAAUCGUGGAUGAAAUCUGAUCCACAUUUCUUCUCAUUUUGGGAAAAAAUGAGAACUUAACUACAAAGAUUCUACUGCCUCAUUCAUAGUGCUUUUCCUGAUCCAAGGUUGGUUCGUUUCCCAAAUUGUGAGGUGCACGUGCCACUCUCACGCUCAGGAGUGUAUCCACGUGGUGGACAUCAGAUGGUGGCUUAAUAUCUGGUGUCGGUGGCUUUACUUUACUAGGAGAGUAGUGUGUCUUCAUCUCAUUCACUGCCGGAGGGUGGCGUAAGCAGUGACGCUAAGGUGGGGCACAGUCAAUAUCAUUUGCAUUUGACCAUUAUAGUUUUCUCCCGGCUUGAAAGUAACCUUAUCGUGAUAAAGGAUUACUAGCACUAGUUCAGAUGACCGUCAUGUUAAUUCGGACCAUGUUUGUGUCACAUUAUCAGCAACCAUGUGUUUAUGGUUCAUGCUAUCUGCAACUAAACUUGAUAUAUAACCAGGUGAACUUCAAUCAAAAUUCUGGAAGUACUCUUGUGAUAGAUGGUGCCUGUCUGCAGAGUCCAUCAAUUGAAAAAUGGAGUGAGUGUAUCUAUAAGAGGGAAGGCUUGGCAAAUGUUCAGUUUUCUGGGAAUUCAACAAGGAUCUAAAAUAGAUUGUUUUCUUUGCCGACUUCAAUGGUUGAAAUUUGAGAAGAUUGUGUCCACAUAUCACAACUAUUACUGGUCCUUCUGUUGCAAUUUAUCCUGUAAGGCUCUAACAUGUCUUCCAAUUCCCACUUCCCUGUUACUCCAGGAAAGCUAUUUCUGUCAUUGUGAAGAAGAAAAGAGAAUGUACAUAUCGAUGCUUUUAAGUGACUGGAGCAUUCAUAUCAGGUGGUCUGCAGCCAUAUAUGCCACUUUGUGAAGGUUGGAACAGUCAAUCACUAGGCUAUAUAUUGGUGUGGCCCAGCCACUUCAAUCAAGGACAAGUCUUCAUACUUAAAGUCAAAUUCUGCCUUUAGUCUCAUUAUAAAUUGCUGUUUAAAUAUUAAGCAAACUUUUGUUUAAUGCGAUUAAGACAGUACUAACUCAAUACUUGUUCUAUUUUUGGAUGCAAAUGCUUGAUGGUUUCAUCAUUGGAUGGGAUAAAGGUGCAUUCAUGAUUAUGAAUACUUGUAGUUAUAUUUUCAUUCUCUUUUUUCUCAAUGAGACUUGUUGGCACAAUGUUGCUGUUCAGAAACCUACCUCUCCAUGGAAAAUAAGUUGCGAUUGAUAGUACUGGAUAUGUUCAAGAAAGCUAAAUAUAGAUAGCACAAAAUAUUAUCGAUAUAAAUAGCAUUAACAGCGUACGUAUGUCUCAAUGCUCAUCAGCUAUAAGCAUGGGACAAACACUUACUAUGAGCAACUUACGUCAAAAUUCCAGAAUAGGACAUAGAAGUGACAGAUCUAUAUAUAUAGAACACUGCAUAUGAGUCACAAGAAAGGAAAUUACGGGUGCAUAGCAGCUCUUAUUUUACAUACUACUACUCAUACUGAUCAAAGUCACUCAGUUGGGAUGGGUGGGAGUAGGAGGUUUGUGGGGUGGCUUGUGCGGAGGAGUUGGCAGCUUCUUUCCAGGACCUGGUUGCUUCUCUGCUGGAGUUGAAGGAGGCUUAAUCUUCCGAGGUGGCUUGUAUGAGUCUUCAGCAUUCUCAGCUGGAGGGUGACCAGGGUUGUGACCAUAAUGUGGUGGCUUCUCUCCCUUAGGUGGUUUGCCAACUGGGGUUGGUGGCUUGUAUGAGUCUUCAGCAUUCUCAGCAGGAGGGUGACCAGGGUUGUGACCAUAAUGUGGUGGCUUCUCUCCCUUAGGUGGUUUGCCAACUGGGGUUGGUGGCUUGUGUUCUGGGAGUGGCUUCUCCCCCUUGGGAGGUUUUUCCAAUGGGGUUGGUUUGUGUUCAGGAGGUGGCUUCUCCACUGGAGGCUUGUGUUCAGGAGGUGGCUUCUCCACCGGUGGCUUGUGUUCAGGAGGUGGCUUCUCCACCGGAGGCUUAUGCUCUGGUGGUGGCUUCUCCACCGGAGGCUUAUGCUCUGGUGGUGGCUUCUUGAAUGGGGGAUGCUGAGGGUAAUCAGCAAGUGAGGGGGCGGUGAGAACCACCAGGCCAAGCAACACCACUAGCAAAUAUGUAGGAGACAUCUUUGGGUUUGGGCUCAGAUGGUGCAAAACUAGGAGAAUUGGCUAGCCUUUUAUAGCGGAUCGUACUCAAUAAUGAAAUGACACGUGUCAUUAUGACCCAUGUGUAAUGGGGUCGAUUUGGGUCCUACAGUGUUGAAAACUUCGACAUCCAGUUUUGGCCUUUUGCUUUCUCUACAGCCGCCUUGCUUUUUCCCUCUUUCCUUUUGUUUUCCUCCUGCCCCAUUCUAUCAACUAAACACAAUUAUGUAGUUGUUUAAUUCUUAAAUGAGAUAUUAUCGGUCAAUCGUAUUAUAUUUUAUCAAGAGAGAACGGAGUGCAAUGCAGCUGUAAUUUUAUCGUUUACUUUUAUCUCUUGGACCACUGCAUUUUUGUUAAGAGGUGCAAUAAUACACGUCUUUAUCUGCCAUUCAAUGUUUACAGUAAAGAGAGGGCACAAAACUCUUCACUGCUCUGCAUGUGUCCCAAAAAUGCGAUUGGACAAAUUAUGAUUUGCAUGCUAAAAAGAGGCAAAUGAGGUUAAUUCGCACCAUAAUUAUUUGGUUUUCUGGACACCAUAAAAAGAUGUUAUACAGGCAGGGAAAAACCUUCAGAGUUAGCUACCAAAGAUAAUUAUCAAGCAGAUAUCACCAAGAGAAUUCCAUAGAGUCUGAAUCAAAGACAGAUUGCUCGCUCGUGGGGGUUCUUACUUUCUUUUGGGUAUAACUCACUGAGGUCACUGUCUUUUUUAUUUGCAUUUCACAGUUAGAGUUCUGCUCUGGAAGGUUUGUUCUGGAAACAUAUAAAAGGAGCAUCAUUUUGUUCUUGGGUAACCCAUAGUCGUGAGUGGGUCCAUUUGCAUGCUACUUAGUUGAAAAGUUGGACAAUUUGCUCCGACGCCUACCUCCUGGAUUCCAUGCUCGGUAAAACAAGAAUAAAAAAAAAUAUAUAAUUUACAAAUGGGGGAAAGAAAAAAUGUCGGAAAAAAUAGUAAAAUUCAUGUCACAUGCUAGUGAGAGAAGGGGUUGUUACACUCACUCGAAGUUCUUUUCAAAAUAUCGAAUGGUAUUUUACUUUAUGUGUCAGCGCAGUUGUGAAUGGAACGUGCAAAAGUCCAAAUUGGCGUUUUUAUUUUUCCCAUGUAGGAUGGUGACCUUUAAUAAAUAUUUAAAACAAAAGACGAAAAAAAAAAGGAGGGAAAAGGGAUCACAAAAGAUAAAAUAAUGUUUACAAAAGCUCAAUUAGUUUGCAAAUUACUGUUUGGAUUUUGAUAGUAUUUUAUUUGUCGUUCUAUAUUUGAUGUAAAAGAGAAUUUAAGAUAUUUCCGAAGCAAAAGCAUUAGUUUGCUCUGUGAUGUCCCACAUCGAAUAGGGGAGAAAGUUUCUGGCGCUAUAUAUGUAGAGGCUCCUCUUAACCAAGUAGAUGCGUUUUAAAACCAUGAGGGCCCCCUUAGGUCCAAAGCGGACAAUAUCUACAUGAUUGGGUGUAAGUCAUUACAAAUGGUAUCAGAGCCGAUCCCCGACCCCGGUGUGGGGGUUUGUUUGGCCCUGUAAGGGGUGUUUGUCUGUUUGACCCCACAAUCCCAUGGGACACAACGAGGACGUUGUGUCUGCAUGGGGGGGCGUUUGUGAUGUCCCACAUCGGAUAGGGGAGAAAGUUCCUAGUGCUAUAUAUGUAGAUGUUUCUCUUAACCAAGUAGAUGCAUUUUAAAAUUGUGAGGGCCUCUUUGGGCCCAAAGCGGACAAUAUCUACAUGGUUGAGUGUAAGUCAUUACAUGCUCCAUGUCAAUUUCAGCAUUUCUCAUAUGUUUCACACAUACACAGAAGAGCAUCGUUUUUUAAAGCAUGCAUUUAUGUUGGAUUAAUUUGGAUUUUGUGGGAACUGGGGCAAGGAUCACAUGGAAGAGAGGUUGACUUUUUUCAGUACUUCAAUGGUUGAAAUAUGUGAAGGCUUGAUUGAUACUAAAGCUUGAAAUUGCGACUCUGUCAUUUGUAAAAAAAUAUGACAGCUUCCAUGCUCUCGUUUGGUUGCAUUGUCCGGUCGAGAGGUGCAAAAAGCAUUCUCUCUCUUCUAAUAGUCUUUUCGUUUAAAUCAAGGGAUUUGCCUUCCCGGUCGAGGUCCAAUAGAGGGUAACGGUCACCUACUAAACAUUAAAUGCUCCAACAACUAGUGAACUGAUCGACCCCAGCUCGACUAGUUGAGGUUACUUUUUGGUUUUCUUGUCUCCCGAGGUUAGAAACCUAUAAAUAGAGAGCUUCACUUCAUUUAUGAGUAAGAGAACACCUAAAUUUAUUUGUUUACCUACUUGUUUUUGCCAUAAAAGCUCUCAUUUCUUUUCUUGGUGUAUUAAAUCUCCAUUUGCAUAUCCUUUAGUGCACCUUUGUGAUUCAUUCUAGCCUUGAGUUGUAUUUAAGCCUUUGUUGAGCUAGGUUGAGAGUUUCAUACUUGUUUAUUGAGUGUUAAAGCCUUCAAGUGAGUUAAAACUUGAAGAGAUUGUGUAAGAGCCCAUUGGAGUCGGAAUCCAAGUGUAAAGGUGAUUAAAAGCUUGGUUGAAGCUUCAAGUUAGUGGAACUCUCACUCGGUUAUGAGCUUGAGAAGAGUGGACAUAGACAAGGCAGUGUCGAACCACUAUAAAAUCUGAGUUUGAUUUCUCUAACCUUAUCUCUUUAUAUUUGCUUCUCUUGUGCUUAAAUUUUUUGUGUUUAAAAAGAAUUUUUAAAAACUCAAUUCACCCCCUUCUUGGGAGUUUUUCUCUUUUAAGAUCAGCUUUUAUUUUCUCAAUUGGUAUCAGAACUAUGCCUCUUGUUUAAGACUUAAUCGUCUAAGAGGAAAUGGCUAAUCCAUCAAGUUCAUCUCACAUUGAAAGUUUUGCAACCAAUAGACUUCUUUUUUUUUUUUUGCGGGAACUGAUUAUCCCUAUUGGAAAACUAAAAUGACUUGGUUUUUACAAUCAAUUGAUUUAGAUGUAUGAGAUGCCAUUGAAGAUGACCUAACUUUUCCUUCAAAACUAGUUGAUGGAGUCAUGGUUCCAAAACCUAAGCAAGAAUGGGAUGAGCGUGAUUGAAGAAAUUUUCAAUUAAAUGCUAAAGUCGUUUAUACUUUGCAAUGCUCUAUGGACAGAAAUGAAUAUAAUAGAAUAUGUCAAUGCAAAUCGGUUAAAGAAAUUUGGAGAUUGCUUGAAAUAACUCAUAAAGGAACAAAUCAAGUUAAAGAGUCAAAAAUCAAUUUACUUGUUCAUAGAUAUGAAUUGUUUUUUAUGAAAGAUAAUGAAACUAUUGUUAAGAUGAUCACUAGGUUCACCAACAUUGUUAAUGGUCUUAAAGCCUUGGGAAAGACCUACAAGGAAUCCGAAAACGUGAUGAAGAUCUUGAGGUCACUUCCAUCAAAGUGGCAUACCAAGGUCACCGCAAUUUAAGAAGCAAAAGACUUGAUCAAGCUACCUUUGGAGGAGUUCAUAGGGUCAUUGAUGACAUAUGAAAUCAAUUUGGCAAAGAAGUAACAAAAAGGUGAAGACAAAAAGAAGAAGAACAUAACUCUCAAAGCUACAACUAAGGAAGAAGAAGUUGAAGAAGAAAAACAAAUUGAAGAAGAUGAAGAUUUAGCCCUCAUCACAAGAAAGUUCAACAAAUUCAUGAGGGGUGAAAGGUUUAGAAGAAGAAGGUUCACUUCUAGAAGAGACUUUUCUAAAAAGGAAUCUUCAUCUAAUGGUGACAAAAAGAGAUGGGAAGAGAAAAGAGACUUGGUGUGUUUCAAGUGCAAGAAACCGGGACACAUUAAAUAUGAUUGUCCUCUCUACAAAAGUGAAGUCAAGAGGAAAAAGAAUAAGGCAAUGAUGGCCACUUAGAGUGAAAGUGAAGAUGAAUCAUCCGAAGAAGAAAAUGAGAAAGAAGUGGCAAACAUGUGUUUCAUGGCAAUAGAUGAACUUGAUGAGGUAAAAUCUAACCUUAGUGAUUAAGAUAUACAUGAUGCAUUUGAAGAAUUGUAUGAGGAUUUUUAAAAACUUAGUUUGAAAAAUAUUUCUCUUAAAAAGAAAGUUCAACAACUUGACAAAGAACUUAGAGAAGUAAAAGAAAAAUUUUCAAAUGUUAAAGUUUCUAAAACUCAUCUUGAAAAAGAAAAUGAGAUUCUAAGAAAGAAAAAUGAAUAGUUGAACUCCUCUCUUUCAAUCUUUUCUUCUAGACAAAAAUCUUUUGAAAUGAUUCUAACUAGCUAAAAAUGUGUUUUUGACAAACAAGGGUUAAGAUUUAAAUCUUCAAAAAAUCAAAAGUAUUUUAAAAACUAUUUUGUAAAGGAAUCCACAAGUGCAAGUCCUUCCACUACUUGCAACUUUUGUGGAAGAGAAUGGCACAUUAGUAGUACGCCCUUUAAGAAAUGGUUCUCAAAAGAAUUUAAAUGCAAAAACUAAAAAAGAUUUGGAUUGAGAAAUCCAAGGUCACUAACCCUCAAGGACCCAAAAAGAUAUAGGUACCUAAAUCAACUUGAGUUUUAUGUUGUAAGGUUCAAAGAAUGAUAAGUGGUUCUUAGAUAAUGGUUGCUCAAGACACAUGACCGGAGAUGAAUCCAAGUUUGCUUUUCUUAAAAAGAAAAAUGGAGGAUAUGUUACCUUUGGAGACAAUGCAAAAGAAAGGAUGAUUGGUCAAGGCAACAUUGGUAAUGGCACAUCCUCUCUCAUUGAAAGUGUUUUAUUAGUAGAUGGUUUCAAACAUAACCUUUUAAGCAUUAGUCAAUUUUGCGACAAAGGUUUUUAAGUGAUUUUUUAAGCAUCUCAUUGCAUCAUCAAGGAUAUUCAAAAUGAUAAAACCAUUUUCAUGGGCCAUAGAUGUGAUAAUGUUUAUGCUAUAAAUAUUUCAAAAUAUGAUGGCCAUGAUAGAUGUUUUUCAAGCAUGCAUGAUCAAAGUUGGUUGUGCCAUAGGAGAUUGAGACAUGCUAACAUAGACCUCAUUUCCCAACUCAACAAAGAUGAACUUGUUAGAGGCCUUCCCAAAAUAAUUUUUUAAAAAGAUAAAGUUUGUGAAGCUUGUCAAGUGGGAAAGUAAAUCAAAAACUCUUUUAAAAACAAAAACUUCAUUUCCACAUCUAGGCCACUUGAGUUGUUGCAUAUGGAUUUAUUUGGUCCCUCUAGGACACCAAGUCUUAGAGGAAAUUCUUAUGCAUAUGCUAUUGUGGACGACUUCUCUAGAUACACAUGAGUCUUGUUUUUUAGUCAAAAGAAUAAAGUUUUUUAUGAGUUUUCAAAGUUUUGCAAUAAGAUUCAAAAUGAAAAAGGUUUUUCAAUUACUUAUAUAAGAAGUGAUCAUGGGAGAGAAUUCGAAAAUAUUGAUUUUGAAGAGUAUUGCAAUGAGCAUGGAAUUGACCACAAUUUUUUGGCUCUUAGAACUCCUCAACAAAAUGGGGUAGUUGAAAGGAAAAAUAGAACUCUUCAAAAAAUGACAAGAACCAUACUAAAUGAAAACAACUUACCAAAAUAUUUUUAGGCCAAAACGGUUAACACUUCUUGUUAUGUUUUAAAUAGAGUAUUAUUGAGGCUCAUACUUAAGAAAACUCCCUAUGAGCUUUGGAAAAACAAAAAACCCAACAUUAGUUAUUCCAAAGUCUUUGGAUGCAAUAUUUUAUAAUAAACACCAAAGACAAUCUUGGAAAAUUUGAUGCAAAAUUGGAUGUUGGAAUUUUCCUUGGUUACUCAACUUCAAGUAAAGCUUUUCGAGUUUUAACAAAAGAACCAUGGUUGUAGAGGAGUCCAUCCAUGUUAUUUUUUAUGAAUCUCCAAGAAAGAGAGAGGAUUGAUGAUGAUUUAGGUUUGAAGACCUCUAUAGGAAGAUUGCAAAUCGAAGAUAGAAGACAACAAGAAGAAAAUGGAGAGAAUCCAAAGAAAGAAGGAUCACCAUUGGCACUACCCCCUCAUCAACAAGCGCAAGGUGAAUCAAGUCAAGAGCUUCCUAAAGAAUGGAAGUUUGUCAUCAAUCACCCACAAGAUCAAAUUAUAGGCAAUCCAUCUAGUGGGGUAAGAACUAGAUCCUCUCUUAGAAAUAUUUGCAAUAAUCUAGCUUUUAUCUCUCAAAUUGAGCCUAAAAAUAUAAAUGAUGUUUUAGAUGAUGAAAAUUGGAUAAUUGCAAUGCAAGAAGAGUUAAAUCCAUUUGAAAGAAGUGGAGUAUGGGAAUUAGUACCAAGACCUUCAAAUCAAAGUGUUAUUGGAACUAGAUGGAUCUUUAGAAAUAAAAUGGAUGAAAAUAGCAUAAUUGUUAGAAAUAAAGCAAGAUUGGUAGCCCAAGGUUUUAAUCAAGAAGAAAUGAUAGAUUAUGAAGAAACCUUUGCCCCCGUAGCUAGGUUGGAAGCCAUUAGGAUGCUACUUGCCUUUGCAUGUUUUAAAGACUUUGUUUUAUAUCAAAUGGAUGUGAAAAGUGCUUUUUUAAAUGGUUUUAUAAAUGAAGAAGUAUAUGUUGAACAACCACCCGGUUUUCAAAGUUUCAACUUUCCUAACCAUGUUUUUAAACUUAAAAAGACACUUUAUGGUUUGAAACAAGCACCUAGAUCAUGGUAUGAAAAAUUGAGUAAAUUUCUUUUGAAAAAAAUGUUUUAAAAUGGGAAAAAUUGACACAACUCUUUUUAUAAAAACCAAAGAAAAUGAUAUGCUCUUAGUUCAAAUAUAUAUUGAUGAUAUCAUUUUUGGUGCUACUAAUGUCUCUCUUUAUGAAGAAUUUUCUAAGUGCAUGCAUAGUGAGUUUGAAAUGAGCAUGAUAGGAGAACUCAACUUCUUCCUUGGACUUCAAAUCAAGCAACUAAAGGAAUGAACCUUCAUCAAUCAAGCAAAGUAUAUAAGAGAUCUUCUCAAAAGGUUCAACAUGGAAGAAGCCAAAACAAUGAAGACUCUAAUGAGCUCAUCCAUUAAGCUUGAUAAGGAUGAGAAAGGUAAAUCCAUUGACUCUAUUAUGUAUAGAGGCAUGAUAGGUUCUUUGCUCUAUUUGACCACUAGUAGACCUUACAUUAUGUAUAGUGUGUGUUUGUGUACUAGAUUUCAAUCUUGUCUUAAAAAAUCUCACUUAAGUGUCGUGAAAAGAAUCCUCAAAUAUUUGAAAGGGACAAUGGACAUAGGCUUAUGGUAUCCUAAGAGUGAUAACUUUGAAUUAAUUGGUUUUUUGGAUGCUGAUUUUGUCAGUUGUAGGGUUGAAAAAUAAAACACUAGUGGCACUUUUCAUUUCUUAAGACACUUACUUGUCUCAUGGCAUAAUAAGAAGCAAAAUUUGGUAGCUUUGUCAACAGCAGAAGCUAAAUACAUAGCAACUGGUUUAUGUUGUGCACAAAUCCUUUGGAUGAAAUAAACACUUAGUGAUUUUGAUUUAUCUUUUGAGCAUAUUCCUAUUAAAUGUGAUAAUAGUAGUGCCAUAAGUAUAUCAAAAAAUCUCGUGCAACACUCUAGGACUAAGCAUAUAGAGAUUAGACAUAAUUUUCUUAGAUAUCAUACACAAAAGGAUGAUAUAACACUUGAAUUUGUAAGCAUAAAAGACCAACUUGCCGAUAUCUUUACAAAACCUCUAAGAACAUUUUGUUGAUAUUAGAGGACAAUUAGGAGUGAUUUCUUUAUGAUCUAAUGUGAUGAAUUCUUGAUGAAUAUACUUUUUGAUUGCAUGAAUUUCAUGUCAUAUAUGCAUCAUAUAGAAAUAUACUUAGAUAAUGGUCAAAUUUCGACCAAAAAUCAAAAUUCCCAUGGCAUUAGGCAUAAAAAUUUUGGAAUUUCAACUGAAAAUGGUAGGAGGAGGAUCACAAAAUGAGAAAGUAUGCAAAAAUUGAAAAAUCAAAACGUUGACCAAGCGGUCAAUCGGACUAGACCGAUCGACUAGUUUGUCGAGAUUUAGGAUUUUUAAGAGACUCCAACGCUUCAAUUUUUGCACCGUUCUCCUCUAUUUCUUCACGGUUUCUCUGAUUUUGUCUUUUAGAGACUAAUUUGAGUGCGUUUUGGAUCAAUUGAAGCAUUUUGGAUUGGAUUUUAGGAAGAUUGAAAGUUAAGGUUUCGGAUUUGGGUCGCCUUCUCUUCCUCUCGCGUGUCACAAUCAGCUUUAGCAUUGUUCUCUUUCCAUUUUCACACACCUAGGGUUUCAGUUGUGAGCAUCUCUCUCUCUUUACCAACCACUACUCCCUUGCUUCUUCCAUAUGGCUCCUAGGCGAGAGUCCGCUACUUCUAGGGCACAAGGCAAGCACCCAACUGAGUCGUCUCAGUCAAAGGCACGUCGAAAAGUGAGAUUUGACAUUGCCUUGUUCAGUUCCAUGGAGGACUACCAACUAUACAAGCAACACUUUGCUUAGAGACGAGUAGUUCCCAAGAGAAAUAUUAAUUUUCCUCAACUUCAGCAUUUCGAAUUUAAGGGUCUAUUUACUAGGAUGGUUGGUUGUCUAUUGUCACAAUUUCGGAGCCGGUUUUCCUGACCUUAGUGCGAGUUUUUUACUCGAGGGCGACUUAUGGCAUGGGUGGCAUGAUCAUUUCUACUGUUGGAGGAGUUGAGAUCUGUCUGGACCCAGAGAGCAUCUGCCAUAUUUUCGAUAUUGCUCUGGUUGGACUCAAAGUAUACAAGUCCAAAAUGUGGCCCAUUGUGCCAGGAUUUGAGCUUAGAGAGGUCAUUCAGAGGAUUUGUGAACUUCCAGACGCCCAGGAGAUGGGCAAACCAUUGCCACACAGUUUGACGGUCAUCAACAGGGUGCUACACCAUAUAUUGUGCUCUAUCUUUCUACCACGAAGUGGACAUUGAGAUGAGGUCUCUUAUUAUGAGGCAUUCCUUAUUGACUCCAUUCUAACGGAGAGACGAAUUCAUCUACUAUGUCAUCAUUCACUAAGCCUCCUCACAGUGACAUACCACCUCAUCAGGCACCUCUUGCUCCUGACCAUGCUCCAUUGAUGGAUUUAUUUACUCAUAUUAGCUCUCUAGGCACUCGCAUGAAGGAGUUUGUUGUAGUUAGUGAUACAUGGUUCUACUCCAUAGAGGAUCGCAUGGAUCAGUAUCAGACUGGCUUCACGUCACAGUUUGAGUAUCUCCAAUAGAGGAUUGAGCAUAUUGAGGAUCACUUGAGCAUGAGAAGAUGAUGGCUUUUCUAUGCUCUGUGUUUCCACCUCCACCUCGUCAACCUUGAUUUCUUAGAGACCCAUUGUUUUCAUUUUGUAAUGUUGCCAAAAGGGGGAGAUAUUUAGGAUCUAGGACUCUAUAGGAGACUUACAUGCAUAUCAUUUUCAUAUCAUUGUUUGGAUCGUACAUAUUGGAUAGUGAUACUUUUUACUUAUAUAUGAUAUGCCUAUAUGUUUCAUGUCUUACAUUGUUUCUUAUUGCAAAUUAUCUCUAACAUGUCUUGAUUAUCUUUUUUUUAACUUCAUAAAUUUUGAUUGUUAACCCAUGAUUGGUUUGAGGGGAAGAUUCUUCUUCUCCUAGAUAACCAAGGUUUGUCAUCAUAAAAAAAUUGGAGAUUGUUAGCCCAAGGGUUCUCCUAAUCAUGUUUUGAUGAUAACAAACCAUGCUUAAGUUACUAAUUGGUUUGAAUUAUAAAGAAUUUCAAGUGUUAAUUUGAAAAUUCAUCAAAGAACCUAAUGGAUGCAAGAUCAAGAUUUUUGGAAGACCUUUAAUCAUAAGAAACAUAUGUAAGAUGAAUGCAUGGGUGCACUUAAGAUUUGCAUAUCAUUUCAUGCAUAUUUGGAAAACACGGUUUAUGCUUUAAAGUUACAUUUCCAUCAAAAUUUGAGAUCCAUCAAAUGAACCUUAGGAAAAAUGUUUUAAAAUUGGCAUAUAAUUUUACCUAAAGACCUUGCCUAAGUGUUAGAAGCAAAAGGACAAAAAAAAUAUAGGUUUUCUGGUCAAAAAUGGUGAACCAGUCAAGGCAUUGUCUAAAUCAGCUCAAUCGGCCAAGGUACCGGUCGAUCGGUUUCCCUUUCCCUGUCGAGAUCUAGUCAAGAGGUACAAAAAUCACAAUCUCUGUCUCUUUCUCUCUUUGUCUAUCUUCCAGUAGUCUUUCCUUCCCGGUCGAGGGAUUUGCCUUCCCGAUUGAGGUCCGAUUGAGAGUAAUAGUCACUUGCCAAAUAUUAAAUGCUCCAACAGUUAGUGAACUGGUCGACCCCCACCUUGCCCAGUUGAGGUUACUUUUUGGUUUUCUUGGCUCCCGAUGUUAGAAACCUAUAAAUAGAGAGUUCCACUUCAUUUAUGAGCAAGAGAACACUUGCAUUUAUUUGUUUACCUACUUGUUCUUGCCUUAAAAGCUCUCAUUUCUUUUCUUGGUGCAUUAAAUCUCCAUUUUGAUAUCCUUUAGUGCACCUUUGUGAUUCAUCUUAGCCUUGAGUUGUAUUUGAGCCCUUUUUUUAGCUAGGUUGAGAGUUUCAUACUUGUUAAUUGAGUGUUAAAGCCUUCAAGUGAGUUGAAACUUGUAGAGAUUAUGUGAGAGUCGAUUGGAGCCGAAAUCCAAGUGUAAAGGUGAUUAGAAGCUUGGUUGAAGCUUCAAGUUAGUGGAAUCCUCACUCAAUUAGGAGCUUGAGGAGAGUGGACGUAGCCAAGGAAGUGUCGAACCACUAUAAAAUUUGAGUUUGAUUUCUCUAACAUUGUCUCUUUAUAUUUGUUUAUCUUGUGCUUAAAUUUAUUGUGUUUAAAAAGAAUUUUUAAAUACCCAAUUCACCCCCCUCUUGGGUGUUUUUCUCUUUUAAAAUUAGCCUUUAUUUUCUCACAAACUAUUGUAGUAUAGUGGUUUUUAGGUGUCAUCCAUUAGGAUGAAUUGUUCUCGGUAAUUAAGGCGUGAAUGAGAGGAGAAUUAAUGAUUGUGAUUAAGUAAAAUUGAUUUGAAAAUUCAUGGUGAAAAAUCAAUUUAACAAUGGUUUCUAAUUGAGAAAAACAAUGAAAUGUGAAAUAAAAUAAAAUUAAUAGGAAAUGAAAUUCUCGAAGUUAGAAUUUUCUAAAAAACAAAUUCCAUGGUGAAUGGAUGUUGAGAUCUAAUUUUCAUCAAGUUAGAUUGAAAACCGAAAUUUUCAUAUAAACUGAUUUUUUAUUUAGUUUUAGGUCUAGAUUUAAUUUCCCUUAAAAUUAGGUUAUUUAAUCCAAGAAAUCAAUUCAAAUCAUAUAUUCAAUUCAUCUUAAAUUAUCUUCCAAUUAUUCACACAAUGCAACUAUUCAAUCUCAUCAAAUCUAGCUUUUAAGAAUUUAAUGAAUCUACCUAGUUUGCAUUGUAAUAGUCAUCCAUGACAAUUUGAAGAGAAAAAUAAUUCAAUUAAUCAAUCACUUGGAUCAAAUUACCUUUGCAAUUAAAGUUCAUUUCUCUAAUUCACCACAGAUUUUGUCUCUAGAUCCUCCUUUCUCAAAGAAAAAUGAGAUUUAGCCACACAUGAUUGGAGAUUUGGUCUCAUAAGGCAUGUUUAGCUAGUGAUAAAAUGAGAGAAAAUAAAGAAAAAUAGAGAAUUCGAUUAAGAAAGAAAAUCUAAAAAAUUCUACAAUUAGAAAUGUCCAAAAAGCUUUUUCAUGAGAAAAUCAAGUUUCUAUUUAUAGGCCAAGGUCAAGUGGACACUUGACAUCAUCUAAGAGGUCUUCCGGAAGCUUCUUCAUCAAGAAAUCUGGAGUUUAAUAAUAAAAUGGUCAUUUCACAAGAGCUCAAACAAUUUCGCAUGAUUAUGUGAAAUAAAAAAUGCAACAACAGCAAUUUACAUCUUCUUGGAGCAUUUCGCAUGACUGUGUGAAAUUUUCACAUGAUCAUGUGGAAUCGACUUGACAACUCUCAUUUAGCCUACAACAUAAUUCCACCUUUUGGUCCAUUUUUCAUAGUCAUGCGAAAUGGAAAUAUUUGAUUUUUAAGUUUUCUUUUGUCAUUUCUUUCAUUUCCUUCUCUUGAUUCCACUUCAACUACCUCCGAAUCCUGGUCCAAACCAAUUGCAUUACUUCUUUCAUUAUGCAUUUGGAUCAUCAUCAACAUUAUUUGUUCUCUUCAAUUUGAUUCAUCUCUUUUGUCACCAAUUUAUCAAAAUCAUACCUUGAAAUGACUCCAAAACUUCAUAAAACUUGUUAGUAACUCUUGCAAGGGCAACAACAUAUUAAUUAAGUGUUUUAGGCAUAGUUACUACUCAAAAGAUGCGAAACUCAUGAUAAUUAUUAUAUAAAAUAUGCUCUUUUUGAGUAGUAAUCAACUUUCUUGCAUAAGCAGACCUUUUAGGGUGGAGUACUAAAGACCAAUAUGCUUGUCCUUGUUGUAAUAAAGAAACUUGCUCUUAUUGAUUGCACCAUGGGAGAAAAUUUUGCUACAUGAGUUAUCAUCAAUUUCUUCCCACCAAUCAUAGAUUUAGACGUGACAAGAGGCCUCUUAAUGGCAAGGAGGAACUGACACUCACACUUAUACAAUUAUCGGGCAUUGAUGUGUUGCAACAAUUAGAAUAACUUACACCAAUUAUGUUGGGGAAGUCACAAAAGGCAAACAUGAAAACUAAAAGGAAAAAAGAAAAAUGUUACAUAUCACCACAACUGGAAAGAAAAAAGUAUUUACUUUCAUUUGCCAUAUUGGAAAGCACUUAUUUUACAUCAUAAUAAUUUAGACAUAAUGCAUAUUGAGAAAAAUGUGUGACAAUAUAAUUGAGACAUUGUUCAGUAUUGACGAAGAAACAAGGACAACCUAAAUAGUCAUCUCGAUUUACAAGCUCUAACUAUUAGAAAUGAGAUUCACCCAAUAGAAAGCAGGACCAAAUUUAUUUUGCUUGCAACAUGCUACUCACUCACCCCAAAUGAGAUUAAGGAAUUUUGCAAGUUUUUGAAAUCAAUAAAGGUCCCCAAUGGCUAUUCUUUCAAUAUCUCUCGUUAUGUGCAACUCAAUGAAAGGAAGAUAUAUGAGCUCAAAUUGUAUGAUUGUCAUGUCCUAAUGCAACAACUUCUCUCACUUGUAGUUCGUGGAGUUCUACAUAAGAAUGUUUGUGGAGUUAUCAUAGAAUUGCGUAAUUUUUUCAAGCAAUUGUGCUCAAAGGUGUUAGAAACAAAUCACUUACACCAACUUGAGAACAAUAUUAUUGUCAUACUAUGUAAAAUGGAGCAAAUAUUUCUUCCAUCAUUCUUUGAUAUUAUGGUGCAUUUACUUGUGCAUCUAGUAAGGCAAAGGUUGCAAGACUUGUGCAAUAUUGUUGGAUGUACCUAAUUGAACGAUAUUGUUAUAAUUUCAUAUGAAUCAUUUAAUUUUAUUUUAUAUUAUGUUCAGUUCAUUAACAUGUACAUUGGUCUACAUAUGGAUGAUGAUAGGUACCUAAGCACUUUAAAGUCAUAUGUGCGUAAUAGAACUUUUCUAGAAGGUUCUAUUGUAGAAAGGUACCUUGCAAAAGAAUGUACAACAUUUUAUUCUAGGUACUUGAAUGAUGUGGAAAUAAAGUAUAAUCACAAUGAUAGAAACUUUGUUGGUUUCAACACUAGAGGAGAUGAAAGGGGUUAUCUUUAAACAUAUUGGACAUGCAUUGGGAAAGCCCAUAUUUCAUUAACUUAGUUCAAAAGAGUGGUCACAAGCACAUUUAUAUGUGUUGACAAAUUGCGAAGAUGUCAUACCAUUCAUUGAGUAAAAAAUUUAUUUGAAUUUUAAUUAAAGCUCUAGUUUAUAUCCUUAAUCAAUGUUUUUUAAAUUCACAAGGAGCACAAGCAAACCAUCAAGGCUAGACCACAUAUACGUGUUUGAGACGUAGAUUUAAUUCAUAACAAGGAAUUUAUCAAGUGGUUUGAAAGACAUGUAAGUAUAUUCCUUAUUAUAAGGGAUUUAUUUCACAUUAUGUUUAUAUUGAAUCCAAACCUAUUAUUGAAUUGUAGGUUGAACAAUUACAUAAUGAAGGUCAUAUAUCUGAACACCUUCUCACAUUAUCAUGUGUUCCAAAUUCAUUAGUUACAUGCUUCAAAUGAUAUAUUGUCAAUGGAUUUAGAUCCCACAUUAAAGAACGUGAUAAAAAAGUUUUUAAAAAAAGACUCAGAAUAAUGGAAUUGUUGUAGUUGCAAAAACGUCAAGCUUUACAAGUGCAUGUGAUAUGAGUCCAAUUAUUAGUGAUGCUCUCUACUAUGGUGUUCUAACUAAAGUUGUUGAGUUACAUUAUCUUGGUGAAAAUAAGGUUGUUUUAUUCGAGUUUGAUUGGUGGGAUGUUACAAAUAUUGGAAAAUUGAUAAAAGAUGAUGAGUACAAUUACACAUUUGUUAACUUUGCAUGAAUUCUAACCACGAACGAACGAUUUGUACUUGCAUCUCCAGCAAAGUAAGUGUUCUAUGUGAAGAAUGCGAAUGAAUCAGAUUGGCAUACUAUCAUGGAGAUGCAACCUCAAGACCUCUAUAAGAUGAACGGGAUAGGAUCCAAUGGUGAUUUUGAACCAUUUCAACAAAGUGAACUACAUGAUCACUAAUAUAUCUCAGAUUUAGUUGAUGAAGAUAUAAUCAAGUGGAACAAAAGUGAUGUUUUAGGACUAAUCAUCCUAAAAAAUAUUGUAGUUUCUUAAAAAAAAAAUGAAAAUGAAGAAGAUAAUUGAACCUUUGUCAUACUUUAAAAAGCAACUAUGCAUUGUUCAUUUUGUAUGUUUUGGUUUUCUUCAUUUAAUUUCCUGAUUUUUGUGAUUCAAUGUCAUAUUAUUGAUCUUGAAAUAUUUUUCUAAUUUUUCAUUCUACGAUGGUUUCAACAAGGAUGACAUCAAGUCAAAAAAGGAAAUGUGGUCCCACACACAAUAUUGCAUUACAGGGAUUAAGGUCAGGGAAGAAGGUAAAAGUUGCAUUUAAUGAGUACAAUCAAUUGGUUAAACAGAAAAAUGGAAAACACUUAUCGAGCUACAUAGGGACACUUGUAUCUAACCAACACAAUGUACCUCUCCAAGCUAGUGAUUGGAAAAAUGUUCCAAAUGAUGCAAAAGAGAAAGUAUGGCCUUUGUUUUGGUAUGUUGUAUUUCUCACUAUAUGAUGUCAUUUCACUGUUAUUCUAUUUUGUGACUAACGUUUGAAUCAUAUGUAAGAAAAAUUUGAAGUAGAUAAAGACUGAAAAGAUUACAUGUUGGGUAUAGCCUCAAAUAAAUAUAGAAGCUAUAAAAAUAUGAUGAAUGCAAAAUACUAUGACCCUUGGCAUAAGGAUGCAUGAGGAGAGGUUAAUACAUAAAUCACCAUUUGUCUCUGAUGUUGAUUGGAAGUGGCUUGUCUCUGAUGCAUAAACCAAAUCCCCCACUGAAUGUUUGAUAUUUGAUAGCAGGAAAAACACACCCGCAGCUAUACACCUCCAUCAUUCAGAUAAUUAUAGUGGGGGAGAUGAUUCAUGGUUGCCCUUAUACCCUUUAUUUGCACCAUCUAUUGAGAUUCUUUAUCAUGGCCAGGUUUUACUGCAGCAAUAAGAUAUGGUGGCAACAAUUUUAUCUAUAGGUGCGGUUCCAGACCGCCUCCAUAGGUGCGGUUCCUGACUGCCUCCAUAGGUGCCUCUUCUUGUAAUGUUUGUUCUGGGAAUUACACUUGAAAGCCUUAUCGUGAUAAGGGAUUACAAACACUAGUUCAGAGGACAGCCAUGUUAAACUUCCACUAUGUUUGUGUCACAUUAUCAGCAGCCUAGUGUUUAUUGGUCAUGCUAUCUGCAACUAAUAUAACCCGGUGAACUUCAAUCUAAAUUCUGAAAGUACUCAUGUGACAGAUGGUGCCUUUCAGCAGAUAUCAUCAAUUUAAAAGUAGUGUGUGUGCCUAUAGGUGGGAAGGCCUUGGCAAAUGUUCAGUAUUCCGGUAAUUCAAGAAGGAUAUAUCUAAAAUAGAUUUUCUUCUUGCCCAUUUCAAUAGUUAAAAUUUGAGAAGAUUGUGUCCACAUCACACAAAUAUUAUUGGUCCUUCUGUUGCAAUUUACCUCUGAACAUGUCUUCCAAUUCCCACGGUCCUGUUACUCCAGGAAAACUAUUUCGGUCAUAUUGAAAAAAAAAAUAUUAAAGAAGGUACACAUGCUUUUAAGUGGACUGGGGCAUUCAUAUCAGGUGGUCUGUAUCCACAUAUGCCACUUCGUGAAAGGUGGAACAGCCUAAUCACUAGGCUAUUUAGUGUGGCCCAGCCACGUUAAUCAAGCACAAGUCUUCAUACUUAAAGUCAAAUGGUGUCUUUAGUCUCAUUACACAUCGCUAUUUGAAGAUUAACUCAUCACUAGUGUAAUGCGAUUAAGACAGUCCUAACUCAAUAUUUGUUCUAGUUUUGGAUGCAAAUGCUUGCUGGUUUCAUCAUUGGAUGGGAUAAAGGUGCAAUCAGGACUAUGAAUACGUGCAGUAAUACUUCAUUCUCUUUUUUCUCAAUGAGACUUCUUGGCACAAUUUUGCUGCUCAGCAACCUACCUUUCCAUGGAAAAUCAGUUGUGACUGAUAGUAAUGGAUAUAUUCUAGAAAGCUAAACAUAGAUAGCAUUCAAUAUUAUCGAUAUAACAUUAACAGCGUAUGUCUCAAUGCUCAUCAGCUACAAGCAAUGGACAAACACUUUGAGUAACUCACAGCAGUCAAAAUUCCUAAACAGGACAGACGUGACAGAUCUAUAUAUAGAACACUGCAUAUGAGUCACAGGAAAAGAUAAUACGGGUACAUAGAAGCUCUUAUUUUACAUAUUACUCAUACUGAUCAAAGUCGCUCAGUUGGGAUGGAUGGGAGAAGGAGGUUUGAGGGGUGGCUUGUGCGGGGAAGUUGGCAGCUUCUUUCCGGGAGCUGGUUGCUUCUUUGCUGGAGUUGAAGGAGGCUUAAUCUUCCGAGGUGGCUUGUAUGAGUCUUCAGCAUUCUCAGCAGGAGGGUGACCAGGGUUGUGACCAUAAUGUGGUGGCUUCUCUCCCUUAGGUGGUUUGCCAACUGGGGUUGGUGGCUUGUUUUCUGGGAGUGGCUUCUCUCCCUUGGGUGGUUUGCCAACUGGGGUUGGUGGCUUGUGUUCUGGGAGUGGCUUCUCCCCCUUGGGAGGUUUUUCGAAUGGGGUGGGUUUGUGUCCUGGUGGUGGCUUCUCUCCCUUGGGAGGUUUACCAAUUGGGGUCGGUGGCUUGUGUUCUGGGAGGGGCUUCUCUCCCUGGGGAGGUUUAGUGGGUGGCUUGUGUUCUGGAGGUGGCUUCUCCACCGGAGGCUUAUGCUCUGGUGGUGGCUUCUCGAAGGGGGGAUGCUCAGGGUAAUCACCAAGUGAGGGGGUGGUGAGAACCACCAUGCCAAGCAACAACACUAGCAAGUAUGUAGUAGACAUCUUUGGGUUUGGACUCAGACAGUGCAAAACUACGAGAAAUCGCUAGCCCUUUAUAGCGGCUCGGACCUAAUACUGACAUAAUAUAAAAUAAAUAUUAUAUUUUAUCAAGAGAGAACAGAGUGUAAUUUUAUCAUUAAUACCGAUCGAGGCCAAAGAAAGAAGACCCAUAAUCCAUUUCCCACAAGCAUACACAAUGCAGCUGUAAUUUUAUCAUUUACUUUUAUCCCUUGGACCACUGCAUUUUUGUUGAGAGACACAAUAACACAUUUUUAUCUGUCAUUCAACAUUUACAGUAAAGAGAGGGCACAAAACGCAAUUAGAUAAAUUAUGUUUUGCCUGCUAAAAAGAGGCAAAUAACUUUAUUUGCAACAUAAUUAUUUUGGUUUCUAGUGACCCCGGGGCCUUUCGGUUGGUUUGGGAUCGGAAAAUGAACAUCAUAGGGGGGGUUGUGCCCUUAUGGGCAUAUAUAUCUGAUAGCUUCAACUGGCCUUGUUCCUAGAAAGAAAUUGCCAAAGAUAUAAACUUAUUCCAGGCUGAAAGUAGAUGAGAGUCAUAAUGAACAUCAACCUUUGUUCAGUUUGAUUCAAUGCCCCCAUAGUGUUCAUUUCACAGAUCUGAAUGAUUAUAUCCGUUGAAUACAUAAAUUAAUGAAGACAAAUAUGAAACCCAAGAUACAUCUCUGCAUAACAACCCCAACCCUGGUUGCUAUGUUUCCCUUCUUCUAUUCACAUGAGGAUACUGGUUAUAAUUGUCAAACUUGCAACAAGCCCUUUGACACCUAACGUCAAUGGACGAAUUAAAAGUCUCCUUCAAACGUCUAUUUCACAGCAUGAAGCUUAUAAAGGAUGCUGACAACCUUCAGAGUUAGCGACAAAAGAUAAUUAUCAAGGAGAGAUAGUUCCAUGAGAAUUCCAAGGAGUCUGAAUCAAAGACAAAUUGCUCACUCAAGGGUUCUUAUUUUCUUUUAGGUACAAAUCUCUUGAGUGUUGUUAAAGAAACACGUCACUGUCAUUUUGAUUUGCAUUUAACAUUUCACUUUUGUUCUGGAAGGUUUGUUCCGGAAACAUAUCAAAUGAGCAUCAUUUUCUUCUUCGGUGACACAUGGUCGCGAGUACGUGGGUCCAUUUUCAUGCCACUUAGUUGAAAAGUUGGAAAGAAAAAACAUGCCAACAAGAAGAUAGUGAGAGAAGGGGCACUUCAAGCCUUUAACAUGAACAAACAGUAAAUAAAAGAUGUUUCUCCACUCAUAAAAGUGUGUUAGAUAGCAAUAUAACGAAUCACAUCCAAAAUCUUUACUAGGCUCAAACAUAAAGAAGACUCAUUUUUAAGAAAAGAUAAAAAUGGCAUUGUCUGAUAGUAUCCAAUACACGAGAUGGCACUUAAUUUGUACAAGAUCUGUCAAUGCUGACGCACAUUUUCUGAUUAAAAAAAAACUGAUCAGUCAAAAGCAAUGAAGAGAAGUGAUGACAAUGAAUGAUGCUUCCAAUAUUUUCACCCCUUAUAGUGUUCUUCAUGAUUCAGAUAUAUAAUUGGAAAUAGAACAACCCUAUGCCAUACAUUCGUCUAAGUAUGGUGUCUAAUUUUUUGUGUCAGCGGUUGCGAAUGGAGCGUGCAAAAGUCCAAAUUGGCGUCUCUCCAUUUCCACAUAGGAAGGUGACCUUUAUUGACAAAUACCCAAUAUUUGUAGACAUUCCUUAAAUAUCAUAACUUCUUGUUGAUUUGAAAAUCAUUUUUCAACUACCAUGUUUUAAUAAAUAUUUUUUAAAAUGUAUUUUUAUCAAAGUCCACCAUGAUGGAUAAUAUUCACCAUGCAAUAAUUAAUAAAGUACAAACUAAGCGAAAUGAAAAGCAUUUUCUUUGCUUUGAGUUGAUUUUGGUUGCAUUGAGUUGAUUUUGGUUUCAUGGUUUUUUCAACUCUUAUUUUGAUUGGAAGAUGUCAAGAAAAGAAAACAUAAAGAAAAAUUAAAAGGGAAAAAAGAAGAAAAAUAAAAAAAAAUAGAUUUAAAAGUUAAUAAAUUAUUUUUUAUAUUUAUUUUAAUUCAUUUCACUUAUUUUUCUUUUACUAUAUAAAAUUUAAAUAAUUUAAAUUUUAUAAUUAAUUUAAUUACAUUUCAUUUUCUUCUAUAUUUAAAUAUUGGAAAAAUAUUUUACUUAAUAUUUUUUUCUUUAAUUUCUUUGGCAUUUUGGGAACCAAACUUAGCCUUUAAAAUAAAAAACAAAAAAAAAAUGAAAAUAAGGAGGGAAAAGUGAGAAAAGAUAAAAACAAUAUGUAAAGGAUUUGAAAAGUAUUAGUUUGUAAUUACUAUUUGGAUUUCAAUAGUAUUUUAUUUGUCUUUCUAUAUUUCAUGUAAGAGAGAAUUUAAGAUAUUCCCCAAGGCAAAGCAUUAGUUACCUGCAAUCAGUGGUGAUAAGGCUCCAAGCCAAUUUUGGGCCCCAUAUCUUAAGACAGUACAAUUUCCAUUUCAACAUUUCUGAUUUCUCAGAUGUUUCACAUACCACAGAAGAACAUUGUUUGUGAAAAUAUGCAUUUAUGUUGGAUUUUGUAUGCUGUGGGGACUGGGGCAAGGAUCAUAUGGAAGAGUGGUUGACUUUUUCUGUACUUUAACGGUUGAAAUAGGAUAAGCACGGGCAUUUGUGAGGCUUAAUUGAUUUUGAAGCCUGAAAUUGCGUUUCUGUCAUUUUGUCAAAAAAAUGGCAGAUUCCAUACUCAUAUGUUUGGCCUGUGGCCAUGUACAGAUGCCAUUUAGUGACCAGUUUGUAACUGUCAAUCGUUGCGUUUUGACUCUGCCUCAACAACAUCUGCCAUUGACGGGUUUUCAUACUUGCAAAUCAAAUAGUCUUUCGUCCCAUCAGGAAUUUCGGUUUAAAUAUUAUUAAGCAUACGUUUGGCUGACAAUCAUUAUCCAGUUCAUGAUUUGGUUUCUUACCCUUAAUCAAUGGUUUCUAAGUGAAUAUAUGUAGAAGGAAAUCCGAAGUGUAGACAGUAGUAUCGAUAACUCUCAAUAUUCUCUAUAUAAUAGAAUAAACAGCGUCAUAGUGAUCGUCGCCUACAAGCAAGGUACAAAUACCAAAACGAGUGACUCACAUAGACAUCUCCCAACAAGAUGUAGUAGUGACUGACACAUGGACACAAUUAACUCGUAGAAAAGGAUAAGACCAUUGCACAGCAGCUCUUAUUUUACAUACUACUUAUGCUAACCAAAGUCAAUUAGUUGGGAUGGGUGGGAGAUGGAGGUUUGUGCGGUGGCUUGUGGGGCGGAGUUGAUGGCUUCUUUCCAGGAGCUUCUGGCUUUUUCAUCGGAGCUGAAGGAGGCUCAAUCUUAUGAGGCGGCUUGUAUGAGUCUUCUUUACUCUCGACAGGAGGGUGGCCAGGGUUGUGAUCAUAAUGUGGUGGCUUCUCUCCCUUAGGUGGCUUGCCAACUGGGGUUGGUGGCUUGUGUUCAGGAAGUGGUUUCUCUCCCAUGGGAGGUUUAGCAAUUGGGGUUGGUGGCUUGUGUUCUGGGAGUGGCUUCUCUCCCUUGGGAGGUUUAGUAGGUGACUUGUGUUCUGGAGGUGGCUUCUCCACCGGAGGCUUGUGCUCCGGUGGUGGCUUCUUGGUUGGAGGGGGCUUGGGGUAAUCAGCAAGAGAUGGGGUGGUGAGAACCACCAGUCCAAGGAACAACACUAGCAAGUAUGUGGGAGACAUUUUUGAGUUUGGGCUGAUCAGAUGAUGCAAAACUAAAGCAUUACGUGACCUUUUAUAGCAUGUAGCUCCCAAUACCCACUAAGUAUUGUGGGGUCCAUUUGUGCCCUACGGGGUUGAAAACUUAGACAAUUGGGCAAGGACCCACCUGACUAUGGAGGACUAGUGAGGUGUGAUCAUAGCUUUAGGAUUUUUCUUCCUCUGCAGCCGUCGUGCCGUUGGCAUGAUUUUCUUAAUCUUAAAUAAAGGCAUAGUUAUAGAGUUGUUUAAUCUCUAAAUGGGAUUUUAUAUAUAUCUUCAGAUAGCCAUUAAUAUAUUUGAUGAAGAAAGAAAGACAAGUGCAUACAACAUGUAUACGACUAGCUUUCAUGGAGUUCAUUUAUGAUCAGUUUUCCUGUACAUGUAAACCAGGAUCAUAUAUAUGUUUCUGUUCCACAACUAUUUUGGAAUCUUGUUUAUCAGUUUUUAUCAUUAUAAUGUCACAUAGGCUGCCAACUUGGGCGCUAAAAGAACCAGUUGGGCUAGUUCGUUUCAGAAUUUCAAUGUGGAUUCAGGAAUUGUUUUGUAAGAUAUGCGAAAUAGUAGAGGGAUGAAUAGUGUUUCAUUAAUAAAAGUGUCCUGUAAAUUAGAAGGUGUCAUAGAAACUAUAAUCAAUAAAUAACUUUUUUUCCCCACGGGUGGUGUUUCUUGUGGGGAUCAGUGACUGGUUUAGGUUCACCCAAAAUGAGUUCAGACUAAAAUUGGUUUGAGUCAAUGCCGUGUCUCUUUUUUCCAGAAAUCAACUAUUUUAUGCAUUGAAUAAAUCAUACAAAGAAAAUAUGAACGCCCGCAAAACCUAAACCCUGGUUGCUAACUUUCUAUGUUUCAGUUCUAUUCACGCAAGAAUAUUAGUUUAAGUUUGGGAAAAAUGGCAACUUACCUAGUGAUUACUUGGUUUUGGUUUGCGACUAUUUACGCAACCAACCAUGAGUUUGACUUUAACGUCAUGGGUUGAAGCCUCCUACAGGAAGGGAGAAAGCUCCACAGCUAGCUCCAAAAGAGAAUUAUCACAUUGAUAGCUCCAGAGAUUCCCAAGGGGACUGAAUCAAAGACAAGUUCCUCACUUUUUCUUCUUUUGAGGCCAAAUAUGAACCAAGGAUCACACAACCUCAUUCAACUUCAUAAGUUUGAUUUCAUGCAGUUGAACACUGGGUGAAGGCCAUGACAAGAAUUGAUUCAAAAAUUCUAUCACUCUUUUAAGUAAUGGAAGAUUAUUAUCUCUGAUUGGCAUCACAACAGCACAUGCUCCUAGAUCUUUCUAGACACUCCAUGCAAUGAAAGCACAAUGGAUCUUGUAACGAUAGAAACUAAGCCAUGCUACAGUACUAGAUGAUGAGGUAAAACUAGUAGACACGGGUGGCAGCCUAUAUGGGAGGGACACAAGUCUAAUUGAUUUGCAUUUCAGCAUUAUAGAUAGGUAUGUUUUGGAAGAUUUGUUCUGGAAAUACCGCACCAAGUAGGAUUCUUUUUCUCUUUAGUGGGUCCACUUGCAUGCCAAUUAACGAGUUGAAAAGUAUGAGCACCUACCUCGUGCUCGUGGAACCGAAGGUCAGUGAAGUGGGGCUCCUUUUGGCCUCGUGUAAACUUGAUUCAGAAGUGAAGUUAAUAGUCUUCCAUUCAGAUGGAUACAUGGGAAUUUUUCUCUUUUAUUUAUUUAUUUAUUUUUUUUUUGUGUGUGUAUGUCAAAGGAUAAUGAAUGAAGCGCGUUAGCUUGUUUUCUGACUGGAACCGCAGAUGUCCAAAUUGGAGUUCCUUCAUUUCUUACUUAGGAUUGUUACAUGUAUAAACAAGGUAUAAGAAAUAUGCCAACGUGUCUUGAGGAGUUAUUGAUUAGAAAUAACAAGUCACCCGACUGUAGAGUUCCAAGAUUUGAAUCUUCAGACCCUAUAGCAGCCUCUGGGGUACGUGGCAUCCUAUAGCAUAUUAAUGAAGGCUUUUUCGAUUUAGACUUCACAAUACCAAUUAAUAUGUAUGCACAAAAUGGAGAUGACCCCAAAAAAAACAGAAUCGCCAUAGUUUAUGAGGUUAAGGUGAUUCUCCACUUAAUAUCUACAUUAGCUAAUUAUGUAAAUCAAAUGAACUUCUAUUUUUCCUUUUUUUUUUUGGUUUAUGUCAAAUAGUAGCCCAUAAUUAACCCAACCAUUAGCCUGUUUGAAUUGAUUUCACAUGCACAAUGUUGUAGUAGUUCAUAUUUUGAAUUUUAUUUUUACAAAGGUAGUUAAGGAAAAUGAAGUAUAAUAAUUAUAAAAGCAGACUAUAUACACUACAAUAAUUGUUAGAAUGGUAUCUCAAAUUCUAAUUUAAAAUAUUAUUUUUUGUAAAAGAAAUAUUAUAUAGAAUAUUUCCUAAUUUUAUAAAUGAUUAUAAUUAGAUCUUUAUAAAAUAAGGAAAGUUGGUAAGAAUAUCUUUAUAAAUAUUUUAGGUCAUGAGAGAAAGAAAUGGGAUAAAAAUGUGAUGAAGAGGUGAAAUAAGAGAGUUGAUUAGGAUAUAGAUGUGAAGAAGAAAGGGAUUCAAUAUAUAUAUAUCUUUCAAUUACCACAUUAAAACCCUGUGAACCUUUUAUAUGGUUUACUUUAUUUUUAUAUUCCUCCUUUAAUAUAUUUACAUUAAUGCUUCCAUUGGCACAACAAUAACGAAUUACAAAUACAAGCAACAAGUCCCAUGUUUUAUUACCAAAAGCAGGUAAAAUCCACCUAAUAUAUUACAAUAUAUUCAUCCAAUAUUUUAGACCAAUUCUUCACCAUAAAUAUCAUAAUGUGGCUUUUGUUCUUUCUUAAAUUUAAAUUGAAUUGUCUUAUAUCAAUUUGUUUGUGAUUUUUUCAUUAACUUCACUUUCAUUUGGUUAUCUUUGGUUUUUGAAAAGUAUUAAGGAAUUAAUUAACAAAAUAAUGUUAAGAAAAAUAAUUUUCUCUCUUUUGAUUUUGAUUUUGUAGUAGAAAAAUAUAAUUAAAAUUAUUUAAAAAGUAUGUAAUUUUAAAUUAUUUAAUAUUUAGAUAAAAAAAAUAAGUCUAAUGAGUUUAAAAUAACAUAUAAAAAUAAUUUAUUUAUUUUAAAUUUAUUUUUUAUUUUCCAUUAUGUUCUCUUUCUCUUUUACUUUUUCAUAUUUUUUCUUACGAAGAAUCAAACACAACCUCAUAUUAUAUGUCAAGUGUUUGUCUAUAUUUGAGCAAUGUUAGAUACGGCCAUGGAUUCAUCAAACUAAACUGAUUUUAAUAGAUACUUCACAAAUUGAUUUAUACACUAAAUCAUUGGAUAGCAAUGAUGCAUUGGAAUUAAACGUAGGAUGAAGCUCGAAGAACACUGUUUGUGUAACAACAUAUUUAUGAAAUUAUGCAAAGGAUGAGCUUCGGGGUAGUAGUACAAGGUCAUUAAUGGAGAGCCGUGUUAAACCUUGAUUGUGAUUGGAUUCCGUUAUCAGCAACAGCAACCUUGUUUGUAACCUUGAAAGUCAUUCUGUCCACAUCGAAACUCCAAUUUGACGUUUGUAAUUACCAUUCCUGGAGUGUUCCUUGAUUGAAAUUUAAAUAAUAAUUGCGGCCCACAAGGAAUAUUUUCGAUUCUGUGGGAAUUUGACAAGGUUUGUUAGAGAAGACUGGUGACAUGUUGACUUCAAUGGUUCAAAUAGGAGACGUAUGUGGAUUUGGGGGGUUUAAUUGAAACUGAGUCCCUAUGGCUUUUUAAUAUUUGCAUUGAGCAGUCUCCAUGUGACUUCCUAAUUCCCACCAACCCUCCUGUCCAUGCUGUGAAACUAAAUUGUAAUUUAUCAGCCUUUGUCAAUGGUUUCUAAAUUAAAGAUAUAGACCAUGCAUGUACUUUAAUAAAAGCAAAUCUAAAGUGUAGAUAGCAGCAAUGGUGACACCCAAUAUUCUCCAUAAAAUAGAAUUAGAAUAAGCAGUGUUACAUUGUUCAUGAUCACCUACAAGCAUACAAGAACUUCCAUGAAUAACUCAUAGCAAUUGCCAACAGGGCGUCGUAGAGACUCAUACAUAGAACACUAUCCACCCAGAGGAAAGGACAAGACCAGUGCGCUGCAGCUCUUAUUUUUCACAUGUAUACCACCACUCGUAAUAACCAAAUUCACUCAGUUGGGAUAGGUGGGAGAUGGUGGUUUGUGGGGUGGCUUGUGGGGAGGAGUUGGAGGAGGCUUUAUUUUCUGAGGCGGCUUGUAUGAGUGUGCAGGAGGAUGCCCGGGAGUGUGACCAUAAUGUGGUGGCUUCUCUCCCGUAGGUGGUUUGCCAAAUGGGCUUGGUGGCUUCUCUCCCUUAGGAGGUUUACCAAUUGGGGUUGGUGGCUUGUGUUCUGGGAGUGGUUUCUCUCCCUUGGUAGGUUUGCCAAUUGGGGUUGGCGGCUUAUGUUCUGGGAGUGGCUUCUCUCCCUUGGGAGGUUUGCUAAUUGGGGUUGGCGGCUUAUGUUCUGGGGGCGGCUUCUCUCCCUUGGGAGGUUUGCCAAUUGGAGUUGGCGGCUUAUGUUCUGGGAGUGGCUUUUCUCCCUUGGGAGGCUUGCCAAUUGGGGUUGGCGGCUUAUGUUCUGGGGGUGGCUUCUCUCCUUUAGGAGGUUUGCCAAUUGGAGUCGGCGGCUUAUGUUCUGGAAGUGGCUUUUUUCCCUUGGGAGGUUUGCCAAUUGGGGUUGGCGGCUUAUGUUCUGGGGGUGGCUUCUCUCCCUUGGGAGGUUUGCCAAUUGGAGUCGGCGGCUUAUGUUCUGGGAGUGGCUUCUCUCCCUUGGGAGGUUUUGUUGGUGGCUUGUGUUCUGGAGAUGGCUUCUCCCCUGGAGGCUUGUGCUCCGGAGGUGGCUUCUGAAAUGGCGGGGGCUUGGGGUAAUGAGCAAGAGAUGGAGUACUG
rnacentral:lncRNA from 1 species